rnacentral:rRNA from 1 species
GCUUUGGCGGGCCGCGGUCCUCCGCGGCCGCCCUCCGUCCGGGGGGUGGCCAGCGCCCGCCAGAGGACCAUCAAACUCCGGUCAGUGAACGUUGCCGUCUGAAAAACAAUCAAUAAACUAAAACUUUCAACAACGGAUCUCUUGGUUCUGGCAUCGAUGAAGAACGCAGCGAAAUGCGAUAAGUAAUGUGAAUUGCAGAAUUCAGUGAAUCAUCGAAUCUUUGAACGCACAUUGCGCCCCUCGGUAUUCCGAGGGGCAUGCCUGUUCGAGCGUCAUUACAACCCUCAAGCUCUGCUUGGUGUUGGGCACCGCCCUUCCGCGGGCGCGCCUCAAAGACCUCGGCGGUGGCGUCUUGCCUCGAGCGUAGUAGAAAACACCUCGCUUUGGAGCGCACGGCGCCGCCCGCCGGACGAACCUUUUGAACUUUCUCAAGGUUGACCUCGGAUCAGGUAGG